rnacentral:rRNA from 1 species
AGUGAACGCUGGCGGUAGGCCUAACACAUGCAAGUCGAACGGCAGCACAGUAAGAGCUUGCUCUUACGGGUGGCGAGUGGCGGACGGGUGAGGCAUACAUCGGAAUCUACUUUUUCGUGGGGAAUAACGUAGGGAAACUUACGCUACUACCGCAUACGACCUACGGGUGAAAGCAGGGGAUCUUCGCACCUUGCGCGUUUGAAUGAGACGGUGUCGGAUUAGCUAGUUGGCGUGGUAAAGGCCCACCAAGGCGACGAUCCGUAGCUGAUCUGAGAGGAUGAUCAGCCACACUGGAACUGAGACACGGUCCAGACUCCUACGGGAGGCAGCAGUGGGGAAUAUUGGACAAUGGGCGCAAGCCUGACCCAGCCAUACCGCGUGAGUGAUGAAGGUCUUCGGGUUGUAAAGCCCUUUUGUUGGGAAAGAAAAGCUGCAUGAGAAUACCCCGAUGUUCUGACGGUACCCAAAGAAAAAGCACCGGCUAACUUCGUG